ACGAGUUGGUGAUGAUGGUGGCUCAAUUGUAUAUUGGUGUUCAUGAUAUCAUCUCACUCAGGAACUCAUACCAUGGCAACGCUGCUGGGACAAUUGGAACCACUGCCCAAUCUAGCUAGAAGUUCAAUGUUAUCAAGGUGUUUAUUCGGUU